rnacentral:rRNA from 1 species
GACGAACGCUGGCGGCGUGCUUAACACAUGCAAGUCGAACGGAAAGGCCCUGCUUUUGUGGGGUGCUCGAGUGGGGAACGGGUGAGUAACACGUGAGUAACCUGCCCUUGACUUUGGGAUAACUUCAGGAAACUGGGGCUAAUACCGGAUAGGAGCUCCUGCUGCAUGGUGGGGGUUGGAAAGUUUCGGCGGUUGGGGAUGGACUCGCGGCUUAUCAGCUUGUUGGUGGGGUAGGGGCUUACCAAGGCUUUGACGGGUAGCCGGCCUGAGAGGGUGACCGGCGACAUUGGGACUGAGAUAGGGCCCAGACUCGUACGGGAGGCAGUGGUGGGGAAUAUUGCACAAUGGGCGGAAGCCUGAUGCAGCAACGCCGGGUGCGGGAUGACGGCCUUCGGGUUAUAAACCGCUUUCGCCUGGGACGAAGCGUGAGUGACGGUAAUGGGUAAAGAAGCACCGGCUAACUACGUG